rnacentral:rRNA from 1 species
UACGUAGGGUGCGAGCGUUGUCCGGAAUUAUUGGGCGUAAAGGGCUCGUAGGCGGUCUGUCACGUCGGGAGUGAAAACCCAGGGCUCAACCCUGGGCCUGCUUCCGAUACGGGCAGACUAGAGGUAUGCAGGGGAGAAUGGAAUUCCCGGUGUAGCGGUGAAAUGCGCAGAUAUCGGGAGGAACACCGGUGGCGAAGGCGGUUCUCUGGGCCUUACCUGACGCUGAGGAGCGAAAGCGUGGGGAGCGAACAGG